rnacentral:misc_RNA from 1 species
GUGAAGAACGUAGCGAAAUGCGAUAAGUAGUGUGAAUUGCAGAAUUCAGUGAAUCAUCGAAUCUUUGAACGCACAUUGCGCCCUUUGGUAUUACAAAGGGCAUGCCUGUUCGAGCGUCAUUUGUACCCUCAAGCUUUGCUUGGUGUUGGGCGUCUUGUCUCUAGCUUUGCUGGAGACUCGCCUUAAAGUAAUUGGCAGCCGGCCUACUGGUUUCGGAGCGCAGCACAAGUCGCACUCUCUAUCAGCAAAGGUCUAGCAUCCAUUAAGCCUUUUUUUCAACUUUUGACCUCGGAUCAGGUAGGGAUACCCGCUGAACUUAAGCAUAUCAAUAAGCGGAGGA